GACGAACGCUGGCGGCGUGCUUAACACAUGCAAGUCGAACGGAAAGGCCCUGCUUUUGUGGGGUGCUCGAGUGGCGAACGGGUGAGUAACACGUGAGUAACCUGCCCUUGACUUUGGGAUAACUUCAGGAAACUGGGGCUAAUACCGGAUAGGAGCUCCUGCUGCAUGGUGGGGGUUGGAAAGUUUCGGCGGUUGGGGAUGGACUCGCGGCUUAUCAGCUUGUUGGUGGGGUAGUGGCUUACCAAGGCUUUGACGGGUAGCCGGCCUGAGAGGGUGACCGGGCACAUUGGGACUGAGAUACGGCCCAGACUCCUAUGGGAGGCAGCAGUGGGGAAUAUGGCACAAUGGGCGGAAGCCUGAUGCAGAAACGCCGCGUGCGGGAUAACGGCCUUCGGGUUGUAAACCGCUUUCGCCUGUGACGAAGAGUGAGUGACGGUAAUGGGUAAAGAAGCACCGGCUAACUACGUG
rnacentral:rRNA from 1 species